rnacentral:rRNA from 1 species
AACGAACGCUGGCGGCAUGCCUAACACAUGCAAGUCGAACGAUACCUUCGGGUCUAGUGGCGCACUGGUGCGUAACGCGUGGGAACCUGCCCUUAGGUUCGGAAUAACUCCCCGAAAGGGGUGCUAAUACCGGAUAAUGUCUUCGGACCAAAGAUUUAUCGCCUUUGGAUGGGCCCGCGUUGGAUUAGCUAGUUGGUAGGGUAAAAGCCUACCAAGGCGACGAUCCAUAGCUGGUCUGAGAGGAUGAUCAGCCACACUGGGACUGAGACACGGCCCAGACUCCUACGGGAGGCAGCAGUGGGGAAUAUUGGAAAAUGGGCGAAAGCCUGAUCCAGCAAUGCCGCGUGAGUGAUGAAGGCCUUAGGGUUGUAAAGCUAUUUUACCCGGGAUGAUAAUGACAGUACCGGGAGAAUAAGCUCCGGCUAACUCCGUG